rnacentral:rRNA from 1 species
UACAGAGGCUGCAAGCGUUAUUCGGAUUCACUGGGCGUAAAGGGUGCGCAGGCGGCCGUGUGUGUGAGGCGUGAAAGCCCGGAGCUCAACUCCGGAAUUGCACCUCAAACUACACGGCUAGAGCAUUGGAGAGGGUAGCGGAAUUCACGGUGUAGCAGUGAAAUGCGUAGAUAUCGUGAGGAACACCAGAGGCGAAGGCGGCUACCUGGACAAUUGCUGACGCUCAGGCACGAAAGCGUGGGGAGCAAAAGGG